AAGUGAAUAACCCAUGUUUAUAAAUACAAAGAAAAAACUUCUCACCAACUGGUAUUAUGAAUUACUAUAUUUUUGUAGCGAUAGUGUAUUUUGGUACUAAUUUAAGUAAAUGAAAAACAAAAAAAACAAAAAAAACAUUAAAACUUUUGACCGAGUAAAAGUUAGUUUUAGACACGGCAAGCUGAGUCCAAAGUCCAAACACAACAUUAAUCGUCCAUAGAUCCAACUUUGAUCUCUU
rnacentral:lncRNA from 1 species